CUUCGCGAAUGUAAACGCAAUAAAUGCCAUUUAUUUUAACUACGUAUUUGCAUAGCACUCUUAAUGCAUCUGAUAAAAAAAAAAUUGAUAAUAACAAUAUUAUUAUAAUCUCUCAGAUAUCACGAAUUAGCAUUCUUCGCAUUCGUGCAUUUAAAUAUACGCUCUCGGAAUGUUUACAAAAUAAAAAUCACAAACUCGAACUCAGU